AUUGAACGCUGGCGGCAUGCUUUACACAUGCAAGUCGAACGGUAACAGGCCGCAAGGUGCUGACGAGUGGCGAACGGGUGAGUAAUGCAUCGGAACGUGCCCAGUCGUGGGGGAUAACGCAGCGAAAGCUGUGCUAAUACCGCAUACGAUCUAUGGAUGAAAGCGGGGGAUCGGAAGGCCUCGCACGAUUGGAACGGCCGGUGUCAGCUUAGGUAGUUGGUGGGGUAAAGGCUCACAAAGCCAACGGUCUGUGGCUGGUCUGAGAGGACGACCUGCAAGCCUGGGACUGGGACAGGUGCGAGACUCCUUCGAGGGGCAGCAUUUGGUAAGUUUGGACAAUGGGUGAAAUCCUGAUCCAGCAAUGCAGCGUGGAGGAAGAAGGCCUGCGGGUUGUAGACUGCUUGUGUACGGAACGUAACGGUCUGGGUUAAUACCCUGGGCUAAUGACGGUACCGUAAGAAUAAGCACCGGCUAUCUACGUGCCAGCCGCCGCCGUAAUAC
rnacentral:rRNA from 1 species